AUUAAACUGAAGAGUUUGAUCCUGGCUCAGAUUGAACGCUGGUGGCAUGCUUAACACAUGCAAGUCGAACGGUAACAGGUCUUAGGAUGCUGACGAGUGGCGGACGGGUGAGUAACGCGUAGGAAUCUGCCCAUUUGAGGGGGAUACCAGUUGGAAACGACUGUUAAUACCGCAUAAUAUCUGUGGAUUAAAGGUGGCUUUCGGGCUGUCGCAGAUGGAUGAGCCUGCGUUGGAUUAGCUAGUUGGUGGGG
rnacentral:rRNA from 1 species